rnacentral:rRNA from 1 species
CCUACGGGUGGCAGCAGUGGGGAAUAUUGCACAAUGGGGGAAACCCUGAUGCAGCGACGCCGCGUGAGUGAAGAAGUAAUUCGUUAUGUAAAGCUCUAUCAGCAGGGAAGAAAAUGACGGUACCUGAGUAAGAAGCCCCGGCUAACUACGUGCCAGCAGCCGCGGUAAUAAGUAGGGGGCAAGCGUUAUCCGGAUUUACUGGGUGUAAAGGGAGCGUAGACGGCAGUGCAAGUCUGGAGUGAAAGGCGGGGGCUCAACCCCCGGACUGCGCUGGAAACUGUCCGGCUGGAGUGCAGGAGAGGUAAGUGGAAUUCCUAGUGUAGCGGUGAAAUGCGUAGAUAUUAGGAGGAACACCAGUGGCGAAGGCGGCUUACUGGACUGUAACUGACGUUGAGGCUCGAAAGCGUGGGGAGCAAACAGGAUUAGAUACCCCAGUAGUC